CACAAGGUGACACCAUUCCCCAGCUCUUCUCCCCUCUGUGCCAUCCUCGUUCCGCGCCCUACUGCACACCUUGCUAUCCUUGCCCUCCUUCGCGCAGGUCCUCGGCGCCCCUUCCUUAGCCCCCGUCGUCCCCACAUAUUUGGAUUCGAGAUUUGCUCGAGUUGCCUCGCCUCGCCGAGGACCCACCGCAGCAGUCAGGGAGCAUGGUGGGCAGGAGGAUAUGGGGAGGAGCAGAGGAGGAGGUGAAGCUCAACAUCGACAACAUGUUCAUGGCACUCGAGUCCCUCAAGAAGAAGGGCAACAAGGGCAGGGCGGUCAGGUCGUCCUCCAGGAAGAAGCACAGUGUAGGGCCCGUGCAGCAGCAAUAGCAGGAAACGCCUCAGAAGGAGGUCUUCUAGGCUCCGGCAUCGCUCACUACCGAUGCACUCUCCCGUGGCCUUCCCCACCAACGCCGACGACUCGCUCGACAACCCAGAUCUGGGGCCCUUCCUCCUCAACCAAGCGUGUGACACCAUGGUAUUGGGUGAGGGCGGCGGCACCGCGCGUGCUUGGGUUCGCCGAGCGCGCCGCUAGGAUGCUCGAACGACACAGUGAGGGCGCAGAGCUCGAGCUCACCAUGAGUCUCCACGUCGCUGCUGCCAUCCACUGCGGGCUCAGCCGCCACGCUGACGCCAUCCCGUCCUCGAGCGCACUGUCACAAUCGUGACGCCGGCGGAAGAAAUGUCUGCCAACAGCGAGGCUAAGGCCGGUGCAGCCGGUGACAGUGAUGACCAGCAACUGCAGCCUGCCGAGCCCGACUAGAGGGUUGUAGAAGCUGCAAUGGAGGGGAGUACGUCGAUGUCCGUUGGUCCCACCAUCACAUUCAUGGUCGUUUCGGUCACCCACCCCUCCACCCAAACUGGCAUCUCCUUGCUCCCUGGUGAGUUUUUCUCUUGAUCUAUCUUCUUUGUUAGUUGUUUUCGGCGUUGUCAAAAUCUCAGGUGCCACAAUGGACGAAAGAACAACAUGAAGAAUUGGGUUCCAAAGGACUUGAGGGCUACUUCAUCACAACCUGUAACUGAAGAUUUUGAAUAACUGACUACAUCACCAUGCAAGACUAAAGUUUUUGUUUUAUUAAGAAAAUGACCCCAAAGAAGAAGAAACUAUAUGUUGCAGUGCAAUCUACACAGUCAUACGUUGUAUGUUAGUUUCUGGAAAAAAACUACAUGGUUCAUUGUGGUAUGUGUAUGACAUAAGUCUAUAUGUGUUUCUUUUAGUUUGUUAAGUGAUCUCGACAAGGACUAGGUAACAGUGUGUUUGUCUUAGUUGCAGUGAACUUUCUGUGUUCUUGUUAAGUGAACUUGGGAAAUGAAGGAUGUUCUUGUCUU